rnacentral:rRNA from 1 species
AACAUGAUUAGAUACCCUGGUAGUCCACGCUGUAAACGAUGUCGACUUGGAGGUUGUGCCCUUGAGGCGUGGCUUCCGGAGCUAACGCGUUAAGUCGACCGCCUGGGGAGUACGGCCGCAAGGUUAAAACUCAAAUGAAUUGACGGGGGCCCGCACAAGCGGUGGAGCAUGUGGUUUAAUUCGAUGCAACGCGAAGAACCUUACCUACUCUUGACAUCCAGAGAAUUUGCUAGAGAUAGCUUAGUGCCUUCGGGAACUCUGAGACAGGUGCUGCAUGGCUGUCGUCAGCUCGUGUUGUGAAAUGUUGGGUUAAGUCCCGCAACGAGCGCAACCCUUAUCCUUUGUUGCCAGCGAGUAAUGUCGGGAACUCAAAGGAGACUGCCGUGAUAAACCGGAGGAAGGUGGGGAUGACGUCAAGUCAUCAUGGCCCUUACGAGUAGGGCUACACACGUGCUACAAUGGCAUAUACAAAGAGAAGCGAACUCGCGAGAGCAAGCGGACCUCAUAAAGUAUGUCGUAGUCCGGAUUGGAGUCUGCAACUCGACUCCAUGAAGUCGGAAUCGCUAGUAAUCGUAGAUCAGAAUGCUACGGUGAAUACGUUCCCGGGCCUUGUACACACCGCCCGUCACACCAUGGGAGUGGGUUGCAAAAGAAGUAGGUAGCUUAACCUUCGGGAGGGCGCUUACCACUUUGUGAUUCAUGACUGGGGUGAAGUCGUAACAAGGUAACC